GCAGAGUUUAAAAUAAACUAACAUUAACAAAAACCCCAAACCCUAAUGUAUAUAGGUAUGCCAUAGUUCGUUUCUCUCUCUCUGUGGAAUCAUUCAUUGGCUCAGGUAGAAAAACAUCUUAUCUAGACAAAACUGGGGAGAGACUUCAAAGGACAGCCUCCCUGGCAUAGUCAUCACAAAAAACUGUUUCCUGCAAGCCUUUUUUUUAGGGGAGGGCAGGUCUAAGUCCCUUUCUGAUCUCCAUCCAAAUGCAUUCAGAAGCAGGGGAACACUUGGUUCAACAGGGAGAGUGGAAUUGUUUUUUUGGUUUUGUUCUUUUAAAACUUCAGAAAAUAGCAAUGUGGGCCAAUUAUGCAUUGUAGGUAAUAGUAAUAAGGACUUUAAUAUUCCUCAUGUGAAGGAUACUUUGGAUUUAGGUAGCAACUUUUCUACAAGUUUCUCUGACUGAAUUGCCCAAAAGUCUGUUAUUUAAGUUUCAUGAUAGUUGCUUGACUUAGUGACCAUCUCUGGUUGUAAAACUCACAUCCUUCUCGUUCCUUACCCAAUUCAGACCUGGUGGUCCUCAGACCUGGAUUCAGAGCCUGGCUCUAUUCUUCCAGAGAAUUCAGUGUGGACUUUGUUUUUAUUUGUUACUGACUAGUGGAUGAAUAAUACAUAAGAAAGCAACUGUCAUUAUUUAAAAUUUGGUUGACAGUUCUAAAAACAAGAAGCAUGUUGAAAUAUUUAUAUUGGAGUAUUUGUUAUAGACAUCUCAUACAAAAAAAUAUUCUUUUAGAAACUCUUAUAAAGGUCUAAAUGUGGGAAGGCGCAGUCCACUACGAGGACAAUCAUUUUGUGUGGUAUCGGUGAUGGUGCUGGGUCAGAUCGUCUGGCUUGAAUUCCGGUCCUGCUUCUUCCUGUGGUUUGACCUUGAGCAGGUCACUUGGCCUCAUCUGUUUUGGUUUCCUCAUUUGUAAAAUGGAGAUAGUAACAUGUGCCUCAUUGUGGUGAGGGUUAAUGAAUAUGUAUGAGGCAGAUGGUGGACUCUUAGAAACCCAACUCUUCAUAAUCUCACGGCAUCUGAGCCACUCAACACACUACCAUGCUGACCAGGCUCUCUACAUUUGUGACCUUCCACCUCCAGGGGACCCUCCAUGCUGACCCUCCAUCACACACCAUUUUCCCUGUGUGUCCACUCUUCCGUCCUCCUGCAUGACUAUUUUGUACCUCCUCCUCUCCUUGCAAACCUCUGUGUCCUCCUCCUAUAGCCUUUCUCUGAUGACCUUACUACCAGGUAACCUGAUGAGCUGAUUUUCUGUUUCAUCGAGAAACGAGAAGCAAUCAGAAAAGAAUGACUACACACACUCCACAUCCACCAGCUUCCUUCCCUCUUGUGUCUGUGGAAGACCAGCCCCUGUUUUAUCUUUCCCGUCUGCACUAGAUCCUGUCUUCUCUCACCUGCUCCAGGUUGUUACUCUGGUAGUCUACUGUAUCAUUGGACCCCCACGCCCCAUUGUUAAGUCCAUCAGACACUCCUCAAACCUCAUCCUGCUUGCUCUAUCAGCAGCAUUUAUACAGUUGACUUUAUUGUUCUUGAAUUCUUUCCUCACUGGGCUUUCUGAGAAGUAGCCUCUCAUGGUUCUCUUCUUACUUUACUGUCAAUUUGCUGUCAGUCUCCUUUGGUGCUUUCUUCUUGUAUCCUCAGCCUUUUAACGUUGGAAAGCCUGGGACUGAGUCUUCAGAUCUCUUCUCCAUUGUCACUCACUUCCCGAAUCUUACCCAGUCUGGGGGCCUUUCGCCCUCAGUACCUUGUUCAGUCUCACAUUUCUCUCCAGCUUGGAUCUCUAGCUUGACACCUAGACCGUGUUGUAUACUUGACAUCAUCGCUUAGAUUUCCAUUAGAGUUCUUAUUUAAACAAUGCAUUUUUGUUCUUUUUAGUUACUCUGAUUUCUUAAAUUUGACACAUCCUAACCCAAAUUCCUAAUAUUCCUACCCCUUCCCCGGUCCCUUCUCCCUUCUACACACAUGUAUACACUUGUUAACAUUUGAGACUUUCUCAUCUCAAAGAAAGCACUUCCAUCCUUCUGUUCACUUAGACAAAAAUCUAGGGGUCAUCCCCAACUUCCCUCUUGCUCUUAAACCUCACAUCCAGUCCAUUGGCAAAUCCUGUGAAUUUUACCUUUAGAAUAAAUCUAGGAUCUAAACAGUUUUUGUCAUCUCCACUGCCAACACCCUGCUCCAAGCCAGUAUCAUCUGUCUUCUGGAUAACUGUUACAGUCUCCUAAGUGGAUUUUUCCACACCUUCCUUAUCUUCCCACAACCCCUUCUCAACACAGCAGCCGGAAGGAUCCUUUUAAAAUAUAAAUCAGAUCGUGUUAGUCCUUGGUACAAAACCCCCAUGGCUUCUCUUCUGACUCAGGCAAGAGCCCAAGCCCUUCCCCAUGCCCUCUCUGAUCUCACCUGCUCUACCCACAUCACAGGACCAGGCCUCUGCCCGACCAAGCGUGUCUCUCUGCCCUGUGUGCUCACCCUCCUGGGAGGCCACCUCUGCCUCCUGUGUCUAAGAGCCAGCUCCCGCUGAUGGUCCUUUAUGGGUCCUUUAUCCGCUGGAUGGUCCUUUCCAGCUUUAUGCUUCACCACAGAUCUAGUGCCAUCCAACAUCCUAUGUAUUUAAUUGUGGCAGCCCGGUCAUAAGGCUGUGGGCCCAGGCUUAAACCUAACUUUUGUAAAGGAUUCCCCAUUUCACCUUGCAGUUGCCUCUGGCUAUGGACCUAUCACUGACCUGCUCUCCCCAGGGAGGCUUUUUGAAGGGGCUGCCUACACUCCUUCAUUCUAUUUCCUCUGACAAUUUUUCCUCAUUCCUGGGUAUGUGACCUCCGACCCCAUUACUCACUAGGCUAAGCCUUCUCUUGUUGAUGCCAGUCACCUUCACUAGGAGCUACACCUAAUGGAUGCUUCUCUGCCCUUCUCUGUGUGCUCAUGCCCUAGAGGAAGACACUAGUGGUAUGGGACAUGAGACUUAAGAGUAUUUUCUAAGAAACAAAUGAAUUGGUAACGAUCUGAGAGUAUUAGAAGAACUCCGAAGCCGUAGUCAUUGGGCACUUCAGUCUGGGUACCCAAAGGUAAGUGAGGCUGGGUUACAUUUGUCUAAAUAAACAGCUCAGCUGUCCUUAACCGACCAACCAGCCACUUCUCAUGAUGUACUGGCAGAGUAAACAACUUGUUACUGAAGCCAGGCACAGGAUUACGAAACUCCCUCCCUCUGCCCAUCCUGCUGAGAUAAGGCAGAAGGCCCACACCCCAAGAAGGUCUUCCUGAAAUACUGUUUCUAUCCUGUUCCUCUAAAUAAGUGCCUCUGAGAUUUCAUAGUGUACUGCUUUCCUGCCAACUCCUGUCAAAGUCCCAGUGCCUGGUUUUCAGGCUCCGUGUCAUCUGGUUCCACUCUGGAGACUGCUAACUGAAUCCAUCAGUUUAGUCCUGAGUACAUAAUUGUCCAUGGACAUGAACUCCCUGCCUCAAAGAUACUUGUUUCCUUUCUUUUUUGUUAUGGGCUCAAGGAAAGCAUAGAGUGAACAGAAUGGGAGCCCUGAGUGAAAUGGCUCGGAUGGUUUAGAUAAACGUCUCGAAAGUCAGGUCAGAAAGCAUUCCUGGAGGCCCAGUCCUUUGUGCAUUACUAUAGCUUGAUAAACCCUGGGGAGCUCACGUGGCAUAUGCCACGAGCGCCUCCUGGCACCUUUGUCCUGGAUUGCACCCAACAUAUUUUCCAAUAUGGGACAGAGUUUCUUGGAGACAUCACGAUAAGGAGGUGGAAUGUCUCCGGCCUUUCCUCAGACUUGAACUUCUGAGAUCAGUUGUUGGACAAAUGGGUUGCAUGUGUACAGUAAGUUGAAUGUUAAACACAAUGAGUCUUUGAUGAUGAAAGGCCCUAGCUGAUAGACAGGUAAACUGUGCUUUCAUGCCCUCUUAUUUUUCUUUUGGAAUCUGUCAACAUCCCCAUCUUCAAAGGCCAUUUUAUAACCUGUGUGUUUAGGCAUUUCAUCCAAGAAAUCUGGUAUUUAAAGAGUAGAUGAAUAUAUCUUUUUUCUUUUAAUGAUCAUGAGACAUUAUAAGCUCUUAAAUCCAAAGUUUCAAAGUAGAAUUUAUAUAAUUAUGGAUGUGUUGUUGUCAUUUUUAAUAGGAGUCAGGAUAUAGUUUAGAUAUGGAAAUAAUAUUAAGGACUUUUUUAGAAGAAAAAGAAAAUUGUUUAAUAAAAAUAUAUUUCUAUGAGCAUUCAAAGUCCAAGUGUUUACAAUAAGAAACUUUUAAAAUAAAGGUUUCAAAAUAUGAUGUGGUAAACAAGAAUUAAUACAUAUAGUAAUUAAAAAUUUGGAUAAUGAAAGUACAACAAAAAUACUUAACAACAUAGGAAAUGUCCAAAGUUCUAUCUUUGGAUACAACAUAAUAAUUACAUGUAAUUCUCCUUAUAUUUUUUAGCACUAGAAAUAUAUUUUAAGAUAAGAAGGGAAAAAUGACAGAGAGGAAAGAAAAGAAAGUGGAAUAAAAUAGGUAGAAAAUUGUUCAUUUUAAUAGUAUGUGGAAAUGAUUCUUUGAGGAUACAGAAUAAAUGUGUGAAUGCACACAGCAGGCAAACCCUUCAAAAGGAUGUUGUCUCACUUUAAUGAAAAUUCUUUAAUGAAAAGAGUAAUGCUAAGUUUCAGGUGCAAAGAUUAACUUUUUCUCCUUAAGUUUUAGUGACUUUUUAAAAUAUGGACACAUUUAAAAGUGAAGUAAAAUGAAAAAAAAUUCACAAAGCAGACAGUUUUCAUGUUAAAAUAUCUUUUUACAUUGAAUUAAAAGACAUUUUUUAAAUAUGUGCAUUAAAAUGAUAUGCAACCUAGUGUCUCACCACCCGGCGCCCUCUGCACUGAACCUAAGAUCCUGAGGAAGAGGCAGGAGAUUGAUGAGCCAGGUCUCAGAAGUCAGACAACAAAACCUGGUGCUUCCUGUCACGUAUCAGGUUGAUGGUUUUGGGGGGAUUUUUUUGGAAAGUCUGAAUGUUUGUGUGACACUGCAUCCCUGCAUUUGUUACCACUUUCUGGAUUGGAUUCAGUUAUGCAGAUUCAGCCAUGUAGACUUGAUUUCAGGUCCAGAAUGGGGUUUUGAACUUUGUACUUGCUACUGCUGGAAGGCAGCAGUGUGUGCUGACUGUGUGGCUCAAGUAGUGAAGGAGAAGCCAUCAGUGUAUAUGA